rnacentral:rRNA from 1 species
AAAGAAGGGGGGGGUUGAAUUUCCGGGUGUAGCGGUGAAAUGAGUAGAGAUUUGAAGGAAUACCCGGUGGCGAAGGCGGCCCCCUGGACAGAUACUGACACUCAGAUGCGAAAGCGUGGGGAGCAAACAGGAUUAGAUACCCUGGUAGUCCACGCCGUAAACGAUGUCUACUUGGAGGUUGUGGCCUUGAGCCGUGGCUUUCGGAGCUAACGCGUUAAGUAGACCGCCUGGGGAGUACGGUCGCAAGAUUAAAACUCAAAUGAAUUGACGGGGGCCCGCACAAGCGGUGGAGCAUGUGGUUUAAUUCGAUGCAACGCGAAGAACCUUACCUACUCUUGACAUCUACAGAAGCCAGCGGAGACGCAGGUGUGCCCUCGGGAACUGUAAGACAGGUGCUGCAUGGCUGUCGUCAGCUCGUGUUGUGAAAUGUUGGGUUAAGUCCCGCAACGAGCGCAACCCUUAUCCUUGUUUGCCAGCACUUCGGGUGGGAACUCCAGGGAGACUGCCGGUGAUAAACCGGAGGAAGGUGGGGACGACGUCAAGUCAUCAUGGCCCUUACGAGUAGGGCUACACACGUGCUACAAUGGCGCAUACAGAGGGCGGCCAACUUGCGAAAGUGAGCGAAUCCCAAAAAGUGCGUCGUAGUCCGGAUUGGAGUCUGCAACUCGACUCCAUGAAGUCGGAAUCGCUAGUAAUCGUGGAUCAGAAUGCCACGGUGAAUACGUUCCCGGGCCUUGUACACACCGCCCGUCACACCAUGGGAGUGGGCUGCAAAAGAAGUGGGUAGUUUAACCUUCGGGAGGACGCUCACCACUUUGUGGUUCAUGACUGGGGUGAAGUCGUAACAAGGUAACCG